ACUCCUACGGGAGGCAGCAGUGGGGAAUAUUGGACAAUGGGCGAAAGCCUGAUCCAGCCAUGCCGCGUGUGUGAAGAAGGCCUUUUGGCCGUAAAGCACUUUAAGCGAGGAGGAGGCUACUUGGAUUAAUACUCUAGGAUAGUGGACGUUACUCGCAGAAUAAGCGCCGGCUAGCUCUGUGCCAGCAGCCGCGGUAAUACA
rnacentral:rRNA from 1 species